UCUGUGAACUCCUACGGGAGGCAGCAGUGGGGAAUUUUGCACAAUGGGGGCAACCCUGAUGCAGCGACGCCGCGUGAUUUAGAAGGCCUUCGGGUUGUAAAAAUCUUUUGUAUAGGAAGAAAAUGACAGUACUAUACGAAUAAGGUCCGGCUAAUUACGUGCCAGCAGCCGCGGUAAUACGUAAGGACCGAGCGUUGUCCGGAAUCAUUGGGCGUAAAGGGUACGUAGGCGGUUAGAAAAGUUAGAAGUGAAAGGCUAUAGCUCAACUAUAGUAAGCUUUUAAAACUGUUUAACUUGAGAGAUGGAAGGGAAAGUGGAAUUCCUAGUGUAGCGGUGAAAUGCGCAGAUAUUAGGAGGAAUACCGGUGGCGAAGGCGACUUUCUGGCCAUUAUCUGACGCUGAGGUACGAAAGCGUGGGUAGCAAACAGGAUUAGAAACCCUUGUAGUCCAUCAGCG
rnacentral:rRNA from 1 species